rnacentral:rRNA from 1 species
UGCAAGUCGAGGGGCAGCAGGUCUGUAGCAAUACAGAUGCUGGCGAGGGCAAACGGGUGCGGAACACGUACAGAACCUUCCUUCGAGCGGGGAAUAGCCCAGAGAAAUUUGGAUUAAUACCCCAUAGUAUACUGAAGAGGCAUCUCUUUAGUAUUAAAGAUUUAUCACUUGAAGAUGGCUGUGCGGCUGAUUAGGUAGUUGGCGGGGUAAAGGCCCACCAAGCCUGCGAUCAGUAACUGGUGUGAGAGCACGACCAGUCACACGGGCACUGAGACACGGGCCCGACUCCUACGGGAGGCAGCAGUAAGGAAUAUUGGUCAAUGGACGAAAGUCUGAACCAGCCAUGCCGCGUGAAGGAUGAAGGUCCUCUGGAUUGUAAACUUCUUUUAUAUGGGACGAAAAAAGGGUUUUCUAACUCAACUGACGGUACCAUAUGAAUAAGCACCGGCUAACUCCGUGCCAGCAGCCGCGGUAAUACGGAGGGUGCAAGCGUUAUCCGGAUUCACUGGGUUUAAAGGGUGCGUAGGUGGGUUGGUAAGUCAGUGGUGAAAUCCCCGAGCUUAACUCGGGAACUGCCAUUGAUACUAUCAGUCUUGAAUACCGUGGAGGUCAGCAGAAUAUGUCAUGUAGCGGUGAAAUGCUUAGAUAUGACAUAGAAUACCAAUUGCGAAGGCAGCUGGCUACCCGAAUAUUGACACUG